rnacentral:tRNA from 1 species
UCCCAGGUGGCUUAGUGGUAAAGAAUCUGCCUCCAAUACAGGAGAUCCAGGUUCCAUACCUGGGUGGGGAA